rnacentral:rRNA from 1 species
GUGAUCUGUGGGCGUGCGGCUGUGGUAAUACAGGGUGUGCUUGGGUUAUUCGGAUUUAUGGGGCGUAAAGCGUGUGUAGGUGGUUUGUUAAGUCGGUGGUGAAAUCCCUGGGCUCAACCUGGGAAUUGCAGUCGAUACUGGCAAGCUAGAGUACGGUAGAGGGCGGCGGAAUUCCGGGUGUAGCGGUGAAAUGCGUAGAUAUCCGGAGGAACACCGAUGGCGAAGGCAACCGCCUGGGCCUGUACUGACGCUGAGACACGAAAGCGUGGGGAGCAAACAGGAUUAGAUACCCCUGUAGUC